rnacentral:rRNA from 1 species
CCUACGGGAGGCAGCAGUGGGGAAUAUUGCACAAUGGGGGGAACCCUGAUGCAGCGACGCCGCGUGAGUGAAGAAGUAUUUCGGUAUGUAAAGCUCUAUCAGCAGGAACGAGACAAGACGGUACCUGACUAAGAAGCCCCGGCUAACUACGUGCCAGCAGCCGCGGUAAUACGUAGGGGGCAAGCGUGAUCCGGAAUCACUGGGUGUAAAGGGAGCGCAGACGGCUGAGCAAGCCUGAAGUGAAAGGGGGGGGACCACCCCCCGGACUGCUUUGGGAACUGUACGGCUGGAGUGCAGGAGAGGUAAGUGGAAUUCCUAGUGUAGCGGUGAAAUGCGUAGAUAUUAGGAGGAACACCAGUGGCGAAGGCGGCUUACUGGACUGUAACUGACGUUGAGGCUCGAAAGCGUGGGGAGCAAACAGGAUUAGAUACCCUUGUAGUC